rnacentral:lncRNA from 1 species
GUUUAAUCAUUUAUUUAUGGCAAGGAUUAAUUAAUAUGUUAAUUAAUCAAACGAAUAAGUUCGUUAAAGACUUUGGGAUAGUUUUGGACCUUAAGGCCCAAUGGGCUUCGAACGUCAGGCCCAUUAACUUAAGUUGUGUGACAAUUUAAUGAAUAAAGAUUCAUUAAAGCCCAAAAGCCCAAAAAUCCCUAAAUGGCCGGCCAUAGUGUAUGAAUUAGGGUUUUGGUUGUUUAGGUCACUUAAAGAAGUGACUAUAUAAAUGACUUUCUAGCCAAAUAUUCAUUAAGGAUUAAAUGGGUUUAUUUUUGGGGAAAAUUGGUGAGAAUUGUCUCUCCAUUUUCUCUUUAAAGAGGCCAACACCUUGGAGGGUACAUCUAGCAAUCCUACUACUCCAAGGUCACUCAUUUCUUCUA